rnacentral:rRNA from 1 species
GAUGAACGCUGGCGGCGCGCCUAACACAUGCAAGUCGAACGGUUAAAGCACCUUCGGGUGUGUAUAAAGUGGCGAACGGCUGAGUAACACGUGGGCAACCUGCCCCUCGCACCGGGACAGCCUCGGGAAACCGUGGUUAAUACCGGAUACGCCCACCCAACCGCAUGGCUGGGUGGGGAAAGCCCCGACGGCGAGGGAUGGGCCCGCGGCCUGUUAGCUAGUUGGUGGGGUAACGGCCCACCAAGGCAAUUAUGGGUAGCUGGGUUGAGAGACCGACCAGCCAGAUUGGGACUGAGACACGGCCCAGACUCC